AGAGUUUGAUCAUGGCUCAGAUUGAACGCUGGCGGCAGGCCUAACACAUGCAAGUCGAGCGGUAGAGAGAAGCUUGCUUCUCUUGAGAGCGGCGGACGGGUGAGUAAUGCCUAGGAAUCUGCCUGGUAGUGGGGGAUAACGUUCGGAAACGGACGCUAAUACCGCAUACGUCCUACGGGAGAAAGCAGGGGACCUUCGGGCCUUGCGCUAUCAGAUGAGCCUAGGUCGGAUUAGCUAGUUGGUGAGGUAAUGGCUCACCAAGGCGACGAUCCGUAACUGGUCUGAGAGGAUGAUCAGUCACACUGGAACUGAGACACGGUCCAGACUCCUACGGGAGGCAGCAGUGGGGAAUAUUGGACAAUGGGCGAAAGCCUGAUCCAGCCAUGCCGCGUGUGUGAAGAAGGUCUUCGGAUUGUAAAGCACUUUAAGUUGGGAGGAAGGGUUGUAGAUUAAUACUCUGCAAUUUUGACGUUACCGACAGAAUAAGCACCGGCUAACUCUGUGCCAGCAGCCGCGGUAAUACAGAGGGUGCAAGCGUUAAUCGGAAUUACUGGGCGUAAAGCGCGCGUAGGUGGUUUGUUAAGUUGGAUGUGAAAUCCCCGGGCUCAACCUGGGAACUGCAUUCAAAACUGACUGACUAGAGUAUGGUAGAGGGUGGUGGAAUUUCCCGUGUAGCGGUGAAAUGCGUAGAUAUAGGAAGGAACACCAGUGGCGAAGGCGACCACCUGGACUAAUACUGACACUGAGGUGCGAAAGCGUGGGGAGCAAACAGGAUUAGAUACCCUGGUAGUCC
rnacentral:rRNA from 1 species